AUAGGUGUCCUACAGCGCCGCGAGUCUUAUCAGACGCGCAAAGGUCGCUGUAGCACUUUGAUCUGCUGCAUGUUUUUGUCCUUUGAUCGGCUACGAUCAAAGGACACAUGCAGCAGGUCGCGCAGUCGGUACU
rnacentral:sRNA from 1 species